UACGGAGGGUGCGAGCGUUGUCCGGAAUCACUGGGCGUAAAGGGCGCGUAGGCGGCGCGGGUAGUCAACGGUGAAAGCUUGGGGCUCAACCCCGAGUCGGCCGUCGAUACUCCCGUGCUUGAGCACUGUAGAGGCAGGUGGAAUUCCGGGUGUAGCGGUGGAAUGCGUAGAGAUCCGGAAGAACACCGGUGGCGAAGGCGGCCUGCUGGGCAGUAGCUGACGCUGUGGCGCGACAGCGUGGGGAGCAAACAGG
rnacentral:rRNA from 1 species